CCUACGGGCGGCAGCAGUGGGGAAUAUUGCACAAUGGGCGAAAGCCUGAUGCAGCAACGCCGCGUGAGCGAUGAAGGCCUUCGGGUCGUAAAGCUCUGUCCUCAAGGAAGAUAAUGACGGUACUUGACCAAGAAGCCCCGGCUAACUACGUGCCAGCAGCCGCGGUAAUACGUAGGGGGCUAGCGUUAUCCGGAAUUACUGGGGGUAAAGGGUGCGUAGGUGGGUUUGUAAGUCAGGAGGGAAAGGCCGGGGCUCAAACCGAGGAAAGCUUUUGAAACUGGGGAACUUGAGGGCAGGAGAGGCGGGUGGAAUUCCUGGUGUAGCGGUGAAAUGCGUAGAGAUUAGGAGGAACACCAGCGGCGAAGGCGGCUCUCUGGACUGUAACUGACGCUGAGGCACGAAAGCGUGGGGAGCAAACAGGAUUAGAUACCCUUGUAGUC
rnacentral:rRNA from 1 species